GGAACAGCCAGCCACACAUCCAGAGUACACCAGCUGGGAAUUUGCAUUUGUCGGCAGCAGUAGCAUUCAGUGGGGCUUCAUUCAUACAGAUCCACAAGGUACUGUCAGCACUCUGUCUGGAAUGUAUAUGUCCCAGGACAUUUUUUAUUCAUCAGAAGAACUUUCUCCAGCCAACAAUUUUAUGGCACUGGAGGACUGAACAAAACACAAUGCUGGAGAUGGCAAGGCAUUCUGGAAAGGCCGUUGUCUUGGGUGGUGACAUGAGAGCUGAUUCCCCAGGACACUGUGCCAAGUAUGGAAGCUACACGAUGAUGAACCUGGAAGACAACAAGGUGGUGGACAUUCAAUUAAUCCAGGUAAAAAUGCAAUUUACUAUGGCACUGCAUUAAUCUAUAAUGGCAUUGUUGUGUAUGGCUUUCUCACAAUGAGUGUGUAUACAAACACAGCAACACUUUGAUAACUAUCAAAACUUAAAAUUAUU